CUUUGAUAAGCUUACAAGAAAGCAUCAAACUCUUGAUUUGAAUGAAAGUGGAGCCCUCGACCACUAUCAAAGA
rnacentral:tRNA from 1 species